UACGGGGGGGGCAAGCGUUGUUCGGAAUUACUGGGCGUAAAGGGUGCGUAGGCGGCUUUCUAAGUUGGAUGUGAAAACUCUGGGCUCAACCCAGAGCCUGCAUCCAAAACUGGAGAGCUUGGGUUCUGGAGGGGAAAGCGGAAUUCCUGGUGUAGCGGUGAAAUGCGUAGAUAUCAGGAGGAACACCGGUGGCGAAGGCGGUUCUCUGGGCAUUACCUGACGCUGAGGAGCGAAAGUGUGGGGAGCGAACAGG
rnacentral:rRNA from 1 species